CCUACGGGUGGCAGCAGUGAGGAAUAUUGGUCAAUGGCCGUAAGGCUGAACCAGCCAAGUAGCGUGAGGGAAGACUGCCCUAUGGGUUGUAAACAUCUUUUAUGCGGGGAUAAAGGUGUCCACGUGUGGAUGUUUGCAGGUACCGCAUGCAUAAGGACCGGCUAAGUCCGUGCCCGUAGCCGCGGUAAUACGGAAGGUCCGGGCGGUAUCCGGAUUUAUUGGGUUGAAGGGGUGCGCAGGCGGAAUGUCCAGUCAGCGGUAAAAUUUCGGGGCUCAACCCCGGCGUGGCGUUGAAACUGGCGUUCGUGAGGGAGCGAGAAGUAUGCGGAAGGCGUGGUGUAGCGGUGAAAUGCAUAGAUAUCACGCAGAACUCCGAGUGCGAAGGCAGCAUACCGGCGCGCAACGGACGCGCAUGCACGAAAGCGUGGGUAUCGAACAGGAUUAGAGACCCGUGUAGUC
rnacentral:rRNA from 1 species